CGAAGUUGUGAAAUCAUUAUCACUAGCUGCCUGUGAAGGAACACACAAAAUUUUAUUACAAUGCUACAAAAACAGCUGGAUUGGAGGUUGCCAAACUGAAAUGGACAAAUUUUGGAAGUGCGUCAAUGAUCAAAAGGCGGUCCUUCAGGAAAAGGCAAAAACAUACAGAUUAAAUAAACUGCAACCUAACACAGAACAAGAAACUCCGAAAGAAAAACAGGAUCUGUAGGGAACAAAUCUUGGCGAUAUUUUUCAAUAUACAUGAUUGAGUGAGGAC